AGAUGAGGAAGCAGCACAUCAAAGUGAUUCCAUACCUUGACCCCACCAUGUGACGGAAACAUUGACUGAUAGUCACACUAAGAAAAUGUUGGCUCCAGGACUUCAUUACUCUGAGCUGACAUUUUCAUACAAAGAAUGGAAGAGAGAGAGAGAGAAAUUUACUAAAAUUUACUACAGUGUUGAAGCUCUCCCCUGCCCCUCCACCCCAACCAAGGUUGGCAUUGCUGGGAUCGAACCCUGACAUAUUCACUUACACUCUCAACAGCCUCCUUUGUUCAUUUUGGCACAAGCACAGUAACGCUUUGGGAAGACUGGUACAUCCCCACUGCUAACUAAUGAGUUUAAUCUCCCAGUUGUCCUUGUACCUUUUGCACGUCUACACGGCUCCCCUGGAGAAUCAAAGCAAACAGCACCAAUGUCUCUGAGAGCCAAGCAUGCCAGCCAGCAAUAGAAUGACCUAGCAGACCUCAAGUGACUCUGGUCCAAAAUGACUUAGCAACAGCAGUGAAAACCCCAUGGGGGGUGACCUGCCAUGAGGAGGGCAUUUAAUAAAAUCCAGCUGGGUAAACCUCAA